rnacentral:tRNA from 1 species
GCCUUAAGAAGCUAAUUAGCAUUGGUCUUGUAAACCAAAAAUUGGAUACUCAACAUCCCUAGGGCU